rnacentral:rRNA from 1 species
UACGUAGGGGGCAAGCGUUGUCCGGAAUCAUUGGGCGUAAAGCGCGUGUAGGCGGCUGAGUAAGUCUGCUCUGAAAGCCCGGGGCUCAACCCCGGGAGGCGGGUGGAUACUGCUCAGCUCGAGUCCGGAAGAGGAGUGUGGAAUUCCUGGUGUAGCGGUGAAAUGCGCAGAUAUCGGGAGGAACACCAAUGGCGAAGGCAGCUCGCUGGGACGGUACUGACGCUGAGACGCGAAAGCGUGGGGAGCAAACAGG